AACAAGUGGUGGAACAUGACCAGCUGGCUUUCAAUAAAACACCUUAUGGCGAGUAUUGUAAUUGCUUUUUCAGGGAAUGUUUGCUCUGUGUUUAGAAGUUCAACAUGGAGGCUGCUGAAUUCUGGUGUUAUAAAACACCACCAAGAUAUCUAGACACAAUGGUGAAGGACAACGGAGGAGAGCAUUCCAAAAAUCAGAUGUACCAGGAAGCUCAGAGGAAAAUCCAGGGAGAAGAAGAGAGGCACAGAGAGGAUGAGAGAUUAAAGCAAGAAGAGGAGCUCAAGAUAAGGAAGGACGAACAAAAGAAACUUGUCAAGACUGCUAAAAUGGGAGCCUUGGUGGGAGCAGGUGUUGGAGGAGUGAUUGGAGGUGUAGCACUGGCUGCAUUUACUGGAAUAGCUUUAAUCACAGGAGGUGCAACUCUUGCAGGAGGAGUGAGUGCACAACUUAUCACAGAAACAAUUAACAGGAAGCAGAGUAAAAAAGCAGCGAAUAAUAAAACAGUUAAAGUUGUUGAAACACCCUAAUGAUUUUAUGAUUUCGGGGGGUUUAAAAAAAGGGAUGCUAGUAGUAUCACGUAGAAGGGGUAAAGAAAUCUAAAGCAGCUUAAUAGCACAAUAGAUUUUAUUCUAGCUAUACUUUUUGGUUAAUAAAAGGGUGUGAGGAUCUAAACAAGAGGAUAUCUUUAACAAUAAGUCAGACUUUAAGAAAUCACUGAUAUCAAUACUGUAUAUGCUUAACUCUGCACACUCUUUAAAAUAAAGGUUCCAUAAGAUGAUUUUCAUAGCAAUACAAUAGAAGAACCAUUUUGGGUUCCCCAAAGAAUCUUUCUGUUAACAGUAAAGGUGCCAUAGAAUGCAUUGAUACAAUAUUUUAAAUUGUUCUCUGAUAUCUACAUAGAAGGUAUGUGACUUAGGUAAGGGUAAAAAUUCUCCAGAAACGGUUUUACAUGUCUAUUUGCAACCCUAGGAUUUCUCCCUAGAAUGAAACGGUCUGUUAUUGGCUUAUUCGGAAGGGUCAUGAAUAAUAAUGUUGAGCUCUGCUCUGAUUGGCUGUUUCACAGUGCAGCUCAUUUCAGUAGCUCACAGGAAGGAAACACAGGGAAAAUAUAUAUUUCAAUACUUUCUCGCGCAGUUAUAUCGUUAGGUAAUUAUACUGUAAAUAAAAUGCGGGCAUCAGGGAACCGCUAAUAAUAUGCUGGGCAUUGAAACUGCUUUCAAAUGCACAAUCGCUUUUUAGUUUCACUUUGGAGAUUCGCGAUCGCACAAACUCUGUUUAUACUGUGGAGCGGAAGUACUUACCACACAUUUUACAAGAUCAGAUGCUUGUCAGUGGUGCUCGGGAUCUGUAAAUCACUCGCCAUCAUCCUCAGUCAUCUCUCCUUACUCUGUUAACAGGCUACCGAUAGCAAAGAGCUAACCAUGUCCCUUUAGUGGCUCCCGUUAUUUUAUUAGAACGUGUUAUUUGCUUUCCGUGCCUUUCUGAAUACAGACACCAACCCAUCCCUGCACUUCAUAUCCCCUGCACAGCCUGGAACAUAACAUUUAUUUCCAUGAUCUGCCAUCUUCGCUGUUGUCCUCGCUUGUUUCUUCACAAUACCUGUAGAACUUCUGAUGGUUCAGCUGGUGGCUGGCCUAGAACAAGGGCGGGUAUAUGCAAACGUAACUAUUAGUGAACCCGACUGUAACGUCACAGUCGGUGUUAUGUUCUGAUUCGCCUAUUUUUCAGUGGUCUUUUUUAUUCACGAGAUUUACAUAAGAAGGAGGAAACAGUGAUGUUUGAGGCUCACGGUAUGUCAACUGUUAUUAUUCAACUAUGCCAAGGUAAAUACAGUUUUCCAUUCUAUGGCACCUUUAAAAUAACCUCUUUUUCUUAUAAUAAGCUGAAGAACCUUUCCUACUGUAUAGAACCUUUUGUGGACUUCAAAGGUUCCAUGGAUGUUAAAGGUUCUUAAUAGAACCUCUGAUGUUAAAGAAUCGUUAUUUUUUAGAACCUCUGGCCUUAAGCUAAAUAGUGUAACAUGUUGUAUGAGCAAGAUUUUUUGCAUACCAAACCACUUAAGCACAACCUCAAUCACACACUCACUCCUGACAGUUCAUGCUUCAUGAAUUCAGAUCAUAACAAUCAUGGAUGAAUUAGAUUGCAACAAACUAAUGCUACAGGAUGUACUGUACCAGGGUGUGCUACAGACACUAAGAUUAUGGUCAUGGAUUAGGUUAGGGGUUAGUAUUUGUUUCAGUGUUGUGUUAGCAAACAGCACUGUGAUUGACAGGACCAAUGAAAUCUUUAGAAAUGGUUGUGGGAUGGGGUUGCACUAAAUUGGUUUGGGGCGCUCUUCUGUCCACAUGUGUUUUGUGUUGCACGCAGUUCGUGUUUUAUCGGCUGUGUGCAUUCAUGUUAUGUCUUGUGCUGUGCGGCACGCAGCUUGUGUUUUUCAUUGACUGCGUGCUUUCAUCUGGUCAUGUCUUGUGUGAACAUGUGGCUUAUGAGUAUUCUCAUUAGCUGCGUGUUCAUGUCCUGUUUUGCACAUGGCUGGUGAUUUUGUUUUGCUGGCAAUGUGCUUGUUUUUGUUUUGUGUGAGCACAUGGUUUUGUCUUAGUAUUCUGGGUGCCAUGUGCUCUCAUGUCAGUUGUCUUGACCCCACCCAUCUUGUUUCCUGAAUAUUGGUUAUUUGCCCCACCUGUGUUUAUCUUGUUACCCUCCUCAUUUCCUCCGUUUAUAAUCUCCUUGUGUUUACAGUCCUGUGCCAGUUCGUUGUCGAUGUUACCCUGGUUGUACCCUGUCCUGUCCUGUCCUGUUCAGCCUUGCCUUGCCAAGCCAAGCCAAGCCUUGUCCAGCCUUUUGCCAGUCUAUUUUCCCCAACGAGGUAGUUUUUGUUUGUUUGUUUAUUUUAUCUAAUAUUAAAGCCCUUUUUCCUCCUGCACUAUUGAGUCCUCGCCUCAUCCCUCUACCCAAACCCUGACAGUACGAACUGGCCGAAGAUGAGGACUCAGCGGAGGAAGGGCUUGCACCGUCCACCAGCCUCCACACUCUCCAGCCCUCUGUACCAAUGCAUGCUCCAAUUUAAGACCUUAAGCUCCCUCCAUCAACAGGGGGCUGACCUGAGGGAGUUUGUGCUGAGGUUCAGCAUUGCUGCAGAGGGACCUUUUUAAUUAUGCCCUUGAUGAGCCCCUCAACUGGUGGAGGAUGAGAGGGCUGGAUCACCUGACGUUUGUGGGUUCAUCGAUUUCCUAGCUCGUCAGUGGAAUCCUCCAGCCGAAGAGGCUGCAAUGCCACCAAUGGUGGCUGAAUAAGCUGCAACAUCCCCAGAGGCGGCUGAAAGGGCUGCAGCGCCCCAGUGGUGGCCGACAAUGCCGCUGUGCCCCCAGAGGCGGAUGCCGCCGCCACAGCUGCGUCACGCUCUCGGGAACGGAGGAGAAAGAAGGCUUCUUCACCCUUCAACGCCUGGAGGCCGUUCCAGAGCCUGCUGCUGGCAGGAGCUCCCUGCCCUGCCGGCACCACCCAAGCUCCCUGCCCUGCCGGAGCCUCCCAAGCUCCCUGCCCUGCCCUGCCCUGCCCUGCCCGGAGCCUCCCAAGCUCCCUGCCCUGCCGGCGCCACCCAAGCUCCCUGCCCUGCCAGCCCCACCCAAGCUCCUUGCUCUGCCGACACCACGUAAUCUCCUUGCCCUGAUGCCGGCUCCGCCCUUGAUGGGUGCUCUGUUGGCUCUGCCGAAACUCCCAGCUCCUCCAUGCCCCCUGCCAGGACUCCAGACCACUAGCGUAGCCAGAAAUGUUUAAGUGGGUGGGCCUACAUAAAACUGGGUGGGCCAGGUGUGUAGCAUAUGAAAACUGCAUGUCAAAUUCCCAACAGAAAAUACAGCACCAAGUUUCAUUACACAGUACUUCUAAAGCAUGCAUUAACAUUAGUAAUUUGUUAUGUUAAUGUUAAUUUCAAAAUUUACUAAUAGGACAUUUAUUAAAAUUAAAAGUUGUAUAUGUUAACAUUUGCCUGAGCUGGUUAACAAAGAUGAAUAAACACAGUAACAAAUGUAUUGCUAAUGUUAGUUAAUGCAUUAACUAACGUUAACUAAAGGAAGUUUAUUAAAAAGCAUUACCUCAGUGUGAAACAACGGGGCUUCGCUGAUGAUUUCAUAAUCAAACGUCUCUGUCAGUUCACGCACAUCGAGAACCGCAGAUAUGCGUGCAGCUGCAAAUUAUGCAGUUUGUUGUGGCGACCAGGAUCUAGCACAAUGUUUAUGUGUUUCUUUCCACAAAGGACGCAUCUGUUUAGCGGAUCAAACACUGUACCUAUGCUAAUAUGAUGUUUCAAACACACUUGGUUCAGAAGUUUCCGAUCGAUAAAUCCAGCACCCUCAGGUGGUCUGUCGGGUUUCAUUUGUAGAUGGUCCGGAUUUAUUGCUAAGACUUUUACUUUUUAACGAAUUGAUCUGAUUUAUGUUUGCUUCACUAGGCUAUUUUCAAAUUUAACUUCACAAACGCGUUCAUUUUACUGUCAUAUCCUUACGUCGUAAACAUAACAUUGCGGGUGGGACUAACCGAAACGGACGAAUCAUAAUUUUGACAAGUGUAUGAUGAUAUGCACCUAUAGGAACAGGGAAAACUAAGAAAUGACCUGUAAUUAACCAUGAAAACAAGCGUUUAAUAUUUUUAAUAAAUAAAGUUACAGUGAAAUAAGACGUUUAUUAGUAUCGUUUAAUAAAUUACAUCCAUUUGGAAAAUUACAAACUUCUCAUUGGGUGGGCCACAGAUGAAAGUGGGCCCAGGCCCACCCGUAGCUACACGACUGCUCCAGACGUGCUAGAGCCCGCCUGGUCCGUCCCUCCGGCCCCGCCUUGACCCCCUGCCGGGACUCCUGAACUGCCUGAGCCUUCCUGGCUCAACCCACCCGCCCCUCCCUGGCCCCCUUUUAUGACUUUCUGAGCUGUCCUGCUGGCGCUGGCUUGGUUCCCUCCCUCCCCUUCCUGUCUUGUUUUUGGUGUCCUCAUUAGUCCCCUCUUUGGGGAGGGGGUAGUGUCAGGGUUCUGUCACUUCGGUCUAGUUUAUUCGUGGUUUUGUGACAGAGCCCUGACACUCCCCUCUUGUAUUGUUUGGUUCUAUGUUCCAUGUGAGUGCACGGCUUCGAGUGUGCUCGAGCCGUGCGCUCUCUCAUCUGCGUGUGUUUUUUGUUGUUGCAUGCAGUUCGUGUUUUUAUCGGCUGUGUGCAUUCAUGUUAUGUCUUGUGCUGUGUGGCACGCAGCUUGUGUUUUUCAUUGGCUGUGUGCUUUCAUCUUGUCAUGUCUUGUGUGAACACGUGGCUUAUGAGUAUUCUCAUUAGCUGCGUGUCCGUGUCCUGUUUUGCACAUCGCUGGUGAGUUUGUUUUGCUGGCCAUGUGGUUGUGUUUUUGUUUUGUGUGAGCACAUGGUUUUGUCUUAGUAUUCUGGGUGCCAUGUGCUCUCAUGUCAGUUGUCUUGACCCCACCCAUCUUGUUUCCUGAUUAUUGGUUAUUUGCCCCACCUGUGUUUAUCUUGUUACCCUCCUCAUUUGCUCCCUUUAUAAUCUCCUUGUGUUUACAGUCCUGUGCCAGUUCGUCGUCGAUGUUACCCUGGUUGUACCCUGUCCUGUCCUGUCCUGUCCUGUUCAGCCUUUUGCCAGUCUGUUUCCCCCUAUGGGGUAGUUUUUGUUUUAUUUUAUCUUAUAAUUAAUAAAGCCCUUUUUCCUCCUGCACUAUUGAGUCCUCGCCUCAUCCCUCUACCCAAACCCUGACAGUAUCAAGCAGAAGUGAAAAAUCUGUGUUAGCCCAACAGCAAAAAGCGCGUGUACGUAUGCGCCUGAGAGAUGCUGAGGGCGACUGAACAUCAUUUACAGACGGAUUUUCGAGAUGGUCCUCACUGCAGAACACAAGAUCCAGGGGGUGUGGUUGGAUCUAGAUCCAACUCCUCCCACCUUACAUUUACCUAAACCUACCCGUCCCCACCCCCUGAUCCCUAAACCUACCAAUCUCCACCCCUUGGAUGUGGAUCCAACCCCGCCCCCUGGAUUUUUUGUUCUGCAGUGAGGGGCUACUGGGAUUUUCUAUCAUUAAAGUUAUGGUGAGUAUACUGAGUUUUGUAUUUAUUAAGUCAUGUUUCACGUACUACAUUUUAUACGUAUUUUGAGUAUUAGAAUAAUAGUGAAUUCAUGCCUCUGGUGUCAUGUUGGCGUUUAUAACCUAGUUUAGCCCGUAGGACUCGGAAGGGGUGUGCGAUAUAUCGUCUGUGAUGAUAUUGUAAUUGUUGUUUUAACGAUGUGGGAUUUGACAUUAUCAUGCAGGGCUGGACUGGUAAUCUGGCAUACCGGGCAUUUUUCCGGUGGGCCGACGCACUGAAGGGGCCGACAGAAUUUUUUGUUGUUGUUGCCAAGGACCAUCACGAGCAGCCAGUGGCCCAUUUCUUUGUCUCCUGUAUUGACAGCGUAAACCACCCAAUCACAAUGCGCUACAGACGGAGCCAUGAAGUGUUUUGCUCCGCCCAAAGAACGAUUCACCGCAACUUCUUCCUCGUCGGCUUUUCCUACGUUUUCACAGCAGCUUUAUCAAGAACAGGCUUGCUCUGCGGUGAGUGAUGCGGCGUAAAGAGCCAGGAGGAGGAGGAGAGGAGAGGAUCUAUCCUGUGCACGCGCGCCAUUAGUGCAGAAUACACAAACACUUCUUAAUAAAACGUAAAUUCGUCCACCGCGAUUUUCUGGCCAAGUCAAGUGUGUUCAUAGAGGUUUUCAUGGGCCAAUGCGAAUAAAUCUAGAUUUAAAUUCGAAAAGACACGAUAUUGUCAGACCUGACGUUUUUUUAUUAUCCAAAACAACUCGAUGCUAUGAUACAUAUCUACACUAACAGUCAAAAGUUAUUGAACAGUAAUGUUUUUUUUUAAAGAAUUCUCUUCUGCUCACCAAGCCUGCAUUUAUUUUAUCAAAUACAGCAAAAGCAGUAAUAUUGUGAAAUAGUUUUACUAUUUAAAAUAACUGCUUUCUAUUUGAAUAUAUUUUAAAACGUAAUUUAUUCCUGUGAUCAAAGAUGAAUUUUCAGCAUCAUUACUCCAGCAUCAUUACUCCAGUCUUCAGUGUCACAUGAUCCUUCAGAAAUCAUUCUAAUAUGCUGAUUUGCUGCUCCUAAAUAUAUAUUCAUUAUAUAUAUUUAGGAAAUAUACUAAGUACAUUUGAUUAAAAGUAUUAAAAUGUG